rnacentral:lncRNA from 1 species
GUUCUCAAGAGAUCUGACAGUUUUAUAAGGGUCUUUUCCCCUUUUGCUCAGCACUUCUCCUUCCUGCCUGCCACCAUGUGAAGAAGGAUGUGUUUGCUUCCCCUUCCACCAUGACUGUAAGUUUCCUGAGGCCUCCCCAGCCAUGCUGAACGAGACGGAGUUUUGUCAUGUUGCCCAGGCUGGCCUCAAACUCCUGAGCUCAAGCAAUCCACCGGCUUCAGCCUCCCAGAGUGCUGGGAUUACAGGUGUGAGCCACCACGCCCAGCCGGGUUGAAUGUUUUCUUAUUUUUGAGCUUUGAGAAUUCUCUAUAUAUUCUGAAUACAAGUCAUUCAUUAAAUACAUUAUUUGCAAAUAUUUUCUCUUAGUAUUUUGCUUGUCUUUUCAGUCUCUAAAGAGUAUUUUUUAAUGUAAAUUUUUAAUUGUGAAGUUCAAUUUAUCGAUUCAUUCUCUUAUGGAGCAUGCUUUUGGAGCCAAGAAAUCUUGGACUAAUCAUAGGUCACAGAGGUUUUCUCCUAUGUUUUCUUCUGGAAGUUUUAUAGUUUCAGGUUUUACAUUUAGGUCUAUGACUCAUUUUGAGAUAAUUUUUGUAUUUGGUGCAAAGUAUGGCUUGCAGUUCAUUUUUUGAUUAUGGAUAUCCAAUUAUUCCAGCACUCAUUUUGGAAAAGACUAUUUCCACUAAAUUACCUUUGCACUUCUGUCAAAAAUCAGCUGUCCACCUAUGUGUGGGUCUGUUAUCUAGCUCUCUUAUUUUUUUCCCUUCAUCUGUUUGUCCAUCAUGACAUGACUACCACACUGUCUUGAUAGGACAGCCAUACAGUAAGUCUUGAAAUCAGGCAGGGUUCCUCAAGUUUGUCUUUUUCAAAAUAGUUUUGGCUCUUCUAGGUCCUUUACAUUUCCAUGUGAAUUUCAGAAUCAGCUUGUUAAUUUUUAUAAAAAGCCUUGCUGGGAUCUAACUGGGAUUUCUUUGAAUCUAUAGAUCAAUUUGGGGAGAAUUGAUACCUUAACAAUACUGAAUUUCCCAGCCCAUGAACAUGCUAUGUCUUUCCACUUAUUUAAAUCUCCUUUGACUUCUCUCAACAAUGUUUUGUAGUUUUCAGUGUACGGGUCUAACACAUUUUUGCCAGAUCUAUUCCUAAGCAUUUCUUAUUUUUAAUGUUAUUAUAAAUGGUGCUAUUUUUACAUUACCAUUUCUGAUUAUCCAUUGCCAGCAUAUAGAGAAACAAUUGGUAUUUGGAUAUUGAUUUUGUAUCCUACAACUUUACUAAACUCACUUAUUAGUUCCAGAAGAUUUUUUGUAGAUUCCAUCAGAUUUUCUACACAGAUGAUCAUGUUGUCUGUGAACUGACAGUUUUACUGUGUCGUCCUUUCUAAUCCAGCUACCUUUUGUUUCUUUUUCUCGCCUCAGUACACUAGCUAGAACAAAAGUGGUGAGAACAGACAUUCUUGUCUUUCUCCUGAGAUUAGGGAAAAGUAUUCAGUCUUUCACCAUUAAGAGUGAUGUUAGCUGUAGGUUUUACAGAGAUCCCCUUUAUCAGGUUAAGGAAGUUCCCUUCUUUUCUCACUUUGCUGAGGGUAUUGUUUUUGUUUUUGUUUUUUAAUCAGGAAUAGCUGUUGGAUUUUUUUUUUUUUUUAAACUCUGUGUAGAGGGCCAGGCGCGGUGGCUCAUGCCUGUAAUCCCAGCACUUUGGGAAGCCAAGCCAGGGAGAUCACUUGAGGCCAGGAGUUCAAGACCAGCCUGGCCAACACGGUGAAACCCCACCUCUACUAAAAAUAACAAAAAUUCGUCGGGCGUGGUGGCACGUGCCUGUAAUCCCAGCUACUCGGGAGGCGGAGGCAGGAGAACUGCUUAAACCCAGGAGGCGGAGGUUGUAGCGAGCUGAGAUGGCACCACUGCACUCCAGCCUGGGAGGCUUUUUUGA